GACGAACGCUGGCGGCGUGCUUAACACAUGCAAGUCGAACGGAAAGGCCCUGCUUUUGUGGGGUGCUCGAGUGGCGAACGGGUGAGUAACACGUGAGUAACCUGCCCUUGACUUUGGGAUAACUUCAGGAAACUGGGGCUAAUACCGGAUAGGAGCUCCUGCUGCAUGGUGGGGGUUGGAAAGUUUCGGCGGUUGGGGAUGGACUCGCGGCUUAUCAGCUUGUUGGUGGGGUAGUGGCUUACCAAGGCCUUGACGGGUAGCCGGCCUGAGAGGGUGACCGGCCACAUUGGGACUGAGAUACGGCCCAGACUCCUACGGGAGGCAGCAGUGGGGAAUAUUGCACAAUGGGCGGAAGCCUGAUGCAGCAACGCCGCGUGCGGGAUGACGGCCUGCGGGGUGUAAACCGCUUUCGCCUGUGACGAAGCGUGAGUGACGGUAAUGGGUAAAGAAGCACCGGCUAACUACGUG
rnacentral:rRNA from 1 species